rnacentral:rRNA from 1 species
GACGAACGCUGGCGGCGUGCUUAACACAUGCAAGUCGAACGGAUAGGCCCUGCUUUUGUGGGGUGCUCGAGUGGCGAACGGGUGAGUAACACGUGAGUAACCUGCCCUUGACUUUGGGAUAACUUCAGGAAACUGGGGCUAAUACCGGAUAGGAGCUCCUGCUGCAUGGUGGGGGUUGGAAAGUUUCGGCGGUUGGGGAUGGACUCGCGGCUUAUCAGCUUGUUGGUGGGGUAGUGGCUUACCAAGGCUUUGACGGGUAGCCGGCCUGAGAGGGUGACCGGCCACAUUGGGACUGAGAUACGGCCCAGACUCCUACGGGAGGCAGCAGUGGGGAAUAUUGCACAAUGGGCGGAAGCCUGAUGCAGCAACGCCGCGUGCGGGAUGACGGCCUUCGGGUUGUAAACCGCUUUCGCCUGUGACGAAGCGUGAGUGACGGUAAUGGGUAAAGAAACACCGGCUAACUACGU